GGGCCCGCACAAGCGGUGGAACAUGUGGUUUAAUUCGACGCAACGCGAAGAACCUUACCUGGGUUUGACAUCCCCGGCCGACACCAGAGAUGGUGUUUUCUCUUCGGAGACCGGGUGACAGGUGCUGCAUGGCUGUCGUCAGCUCGUGUCGUGAGAUGUUGGGUUAAGUCCCGCAACGAGCGCAACCCUUGCCCUCAGUUGCCAGCAGUUCGGCUGGGCACUCUGGGGGGACUGCCGGUGACAAGCCGGAGGAAGGUGGGGAUGACGUCAAGUCCUCAUGGCCUUUAUAUCCAGGGCUACACACGUGUUACAAUGGGGUCACAAAGGGCAGCGAAACGGUGACGUGGAGCGAAUCCCAAAAAAGCCCUCUCAGUUCGGAUCGCAGUCUGCAACUCGACUGCGUGAAGCUGGAAUCGCUAG
rnacentral:rRNA from 1 species